AAGAGCAGUUGAAAGUAACCAAAACUUUCAACUGAUGAAGCAAAGAGCAGUUGAAAGUGACUAGAGCUUAAGUCUGACAAAUCACAUGGAUCGAAUUACACUAAAAUAGACAUGGAAGCCUAAUUAGGAAAAUAAAGAAGAAGCAGAAACAUACUUAUCUCAUGCAGUGCAAUCUGGAUCAAAUCAAGAUGAUGGUCAAAGAUGAAGACAUCUCAGAAAGCAUGCAUAAGACAAAGUUGUGCAGCAUUGUUUUUAGAUUAGAGUGCAUUUUGUAAUCUAGCUAAAAGCUUUGUAAAACUUGGAGUAUAUAACCAAGUUAGUAGCAUCAGUUGAACUUGUUCAAAU
rnacentral:lncRNA from 1 species